rnacentral:rRNA from 1 species
CGUGUAGGUGGUUUAGCAAGUCAGAUGUGAAAGCCCUGGGCUCAACCCAGGAAGUGCAUUUGAAACUGCUAUUCUAGAGUAUGGGAGAGGAGAGUGGAAUUCCCAGUGUAGAGGUGAAAUUCGUAGAUAUUGGGAGGAACACCGGUGGCGAAGGCGACUCUCUGGACCAAUACUGACACUGAGACGCGAAAGCGUGGGGAGCAAACA